rnacentral:rRNA from 1 species
UACAGAGGUCUCAAGCGUUGUUCGGAUUCAUUGGGCGUAAAGGGUGCGUAGGCGGCGCGGUAAGUCGGGUGUGAAAUUUCGAGGCUUAACUUCGAAACUGCAUUCGAUACUGCCGUGCUUGAGGACUGGAGAGGAGACUGGAAUUUACGGUGUAGCGGUGAAAUGCGUAGAUAUCGUAAGGAAGACCAGUGGCGAAGGCGGGUCUCUGGACAGUUACUGACACUGAGGCACGAAGGCCAGGGGAGCAAACGGG